GUGGGGAAUCUUAGACAAUGGGGGAAACCCUGAUCUAGCCAUGCCGCGUGAGCGAUGAAGGCCUUAGGGUUGUAAAGCUCUUUCAGCUGGGAAGAUAAUGACGGUACCAGCAGAAGAAGCCCCGGCUAACUCCGUGCCAGCAGCCGCGGUAAUACGGAGGGGGCUAGCGUUGUUCGGAAUUACUGGGCGUAAAGCGCGCGUAGGCGGACCAGAAAGUUGGAGGUGAAAUCCCAGGGCUCAACCUUGGAACUGCCUUCAAAACUCCUGGUCUGGAGUUCGAGAGAGGUGAGUGGAAUUCCGAGUGUAGAGGUGAAAUUCGUAGAUAUUCGGAGGAACACCAGUGGCGAAGGCGGCUCACUGGCUCGAUACUGACGCUGAGGUGCGAAAGCGUGGGGAGCAAACAGGAUUAGAUACCUCAGUAGUCC
rnacentral:rRNA from 1 species